AAGUCGUAACAAGGUUUCCGUAGGUGAACCUGCGGAAGGAUCAUUCAUAAUCAAGUGUUUUUAUGGCACUUUCAAAAAUCCAUAUCCACCUUGUGUGCACUGUUGUGUCUCUGGCGGCGGGGCAAGUAGUGGGUAUAUUCAAAGUAUGCUCCGAUAUUUGCCUGUCAGUCUGGUUGUAAAAAGCCAGGACCGUGGACAAACCGCCAAAUUAUUAAACAACUUAUAUUCUUUAACUUUAUGUCUGACAUCAUGUUUAUAUUAAAUUAUACAAACAACUUUUGGCAACGGAUCUCUUGGCUCUC
rnacentral:misc_RNA from 1 species